rnacentral:rRNA from 1 species
GGUAAUACGUAGGGCGCAAGCGUUUCGGAAUUAUUGGGCGUAAAGCGCGCCAGGCGCCCUUGUAAUUCUGUUGUUUAAACUUGGGGUUCACCCCCAAGUGCCAAUGGAAACUGCAAAGCUGGAGUACAGAAGAGGAAAGUGGAUUUCCACGUGUAGCGGUGAAAUGUGUAGAGAUGGGAGGACCCCCAGUGGGAAGGCGCCUUUCUGGGCUGUAACUGACGUUGAGGCGGAAAGCGUGGGGACCAACCAGGAUUAGAUACCCUGGUAUUCCACCCGUAAACGAUGAAUGUUAGGUUUAGGGGUUUCAAUACCCUUGGUCCGGAAGUUACCCCAUUAAGCAUUCCCCCUGGGGAGUACGGUGCCAAGAUUGAAAUUCAAAGGAAUUGACGGGGACCCGCCCAAGCAGUGGAGUAAAAGGUUUAAUUGGAAGCAACGGGAAGACCCUUACCAGGUCUUGACAUCCUUCUGCCCUUCCUAGAGAUAGGGCUUUCUUUCGGGCCAGAGGAGCCAGGUGGUGCAUGGUUUGUUCAGCUCGUUUCGUGAGAUGUUGGGUUAAUUCCCGCAACGAGCGCAACCCUUGUUUUUAGUUGCCAGCACUUAGGGUGGGCACUCUAGGAUGACUGCCGGUGACAAACCGGAGGAAGGUGGGGAUGACGUCAAAUCAUCAUGCCCCUUAUGACCUGGGCUACACACGUACUACAAUGGCCGAUACAACGGGAAGCGAAACCGCGAGGUGGAGCCAAUCCUAUCAAAGUCGGUCUC